AGAACGAACGCUGGCGGCAUGCCUAACACAUGCAAGUCGAACGAGACCUUCGGGUCUAGUGGCGCACGGGUGCGUAACGCGUGGGAACCUGCCCUUAGGUUCGGAAUAACUCAGAGAAAUUUGAGCUAAUACCGGAUAAUGUCUUCGGACCAAAGAUUUAUCGCCUAUGGAUGGGCCCGCGUAGGAUUAGCUAGUUGGUGGGGUAAAGCCUACAAGGCGACGAUCCUUAGCUGGUCUGGAGAGGAUGAUCAGCCACACUGGGACUGAGACACGGCCCAGACUCCUACGGGAGGCAGCAGUGGGGGAAUAUUGGACAAGUGGGACGAAAGCCUGAUCCAGCAAUGCGCGUGAGUGAUGGAAGGCCUUAGGGGUCGUAAAGCUCGUUUUUACCCGGG
rnacentral:rRNA from 1 species